rnacentral:rRNA from 1 species
GACGAACGCUGGCGGCGUGCCUAAUACAUGCAAGUAGAACGCAGUUGCGAAAGGGUGAGUAACGCGUAGGUAACUGCCUCAUAGCGGGGGAUAAAUAUUGGAAACGAUAGCUAAUAACGCAUACUGUGAGAUGGACCUACGUUGUAUUAGCCAGUUGGUGAGGUAAAGGCUCACCAAGGCGACGAUACAUAGCCGAACUGAGAGGGUAAUCGGCUCCACUGGGACUGAGACACGGCCCAGACUCCUACGGGAGGCAGCAGUAGGGACUCGUCGGCAAUGGACGGAAGUCUGACCGAGCAACGCCGCGUGAGUGAAGAAGGUUUUCGGAUCGUAAAGCUCUGUUGUUAGAGAAGCGGUAACUACCCAGAAAGGGACGGCUAACUACGUGCCAGCAGCCGCGGUAAUUC